GCCUGUAGAAAUAGCUCAGUCAGUAGAGCAUGAGACUCUUCAUCUCAUGGUUGUGGGUUCAAGCCCCACGUUGGGCA
rnacentral:tRNA from 1 species